UAUUGAUUUGAGGAGGAUAUAAAUGCAUGGUUCAUAGUAUGUUGACCAUGUCAGAUAUUUGGAAGAUGUAUAUUGUUUUGAGUGAAGAUAUGAAGAGUAAGUGUAGAGUAUGAGUUGUAUUGGAUUAGAAGGAGAGAUUGGUAGAUAGAGGUUGAUAGGUGAGAAGUGAAUGAUAGAAAGUAUGUGGAAUUGAGUCCAGUUAUUAGAGAUGAUGUCUACGGUCAAGUUAGAACGUUAGUCCUCGACGACGACGCUUUAAGUAAGCGGGACGAGGUGGGCCAUAACCCACAGGGCGAUGAUUCAGAAAAUCGAAGAUAUGCUACGUGUUGUGUUAUGGACUUCAAAGGCAACGGGAUGAAGCAUGAGAACGUGAACUACUUGGGCCAGAGUUAUUACGGACGAUAACGUCUACGAUGACAUCUUACGAGGCUAAUACGAGUCAAAUCGAUUGAUCAUCAAGAACGUUGAAAAGAAGACAUAUAUCGUACAAUGAUUUAUUGAAGUAGAGUCGGAAUCUGAGAAGACCUUGGCAAUACCUCUCUUCAACUAAAGAUUCUUUUGAUUGUUUUCUCAUCAGUGAGAUAUUAUCAUGAUAUCUUUUCUACAAAAGUUUUGAUAAAUGAGAUCUUCAAUUUCUCAAAUUCUAAGAUGACAUUGAUAUUGAUUAUUGGUAUGAGUUGGAAAGCAAAGAUGUGUGAUAAAGGUUUGUUGUGAAGAGAUAGUGAUGUUCCUUGAUAUUGUUUGACAUUUCUUGACAUUCCUUGAUACCCUUUCAUCUUCCUUGAUAUCCCUUAGUGUUCUUUGAUAUUGUUGAUAUUCCUUGAUAUUCUCUGAUAUUCCUUAACAUUUCUUCAAUUUGAUUGGGAUGAACAACCCUAUUUAUAGGGGACACAAGGUAUACCUGUCUGUGUGAUAGGAGUUGGAUGGGACGCCAUCACUUGUGUGUGUUGUGAUUACAAGAAGGUUAACAACCUUUAGUAGUGUCUAAUAUGGACACGCAACAUUAAGUUCAUUUGAUCGUAUUGAUCUCCCAGUCACUCUUGUAUUCCAAUGUGACCUAUUUUGAAAAUAUCUUGUUCCUCCGAAAUUCCCAAAGAUUGAUUCUUGGGAAAUGAAGUUUGCAAUUGUGAAGGUUUUGAUUCUCCUAUUUCUUUAACUUUGAAGGUAUGCCAAAGUUGAUCAAAGGCGGAUGAGCAUGUGAUAUUAUGAAGCGUGUACAAUGAUCUUAUAAAUGAUACGUUUUAGUUCUCAUCGCGGAUUCUGAGGACAGAAUCCUUAUAAGGGGGGUAGAAUGUAAUAUCCCAUAUUAUUAAAUUUAGAUUUGAUUAUUAUAAAUCUAUUUGUCUAAAUAUUAUUGUUGGCUUUAGUUGAAAAGUGAAUUGAUUAUGUGAAUAGUUUUAUAUGAUUAUACUUGUUCUGUGGAUUAAUAUGGAUUUUACAAAUUAUGCGUUCUCCUUCUUUCUCUGAUUCCGAGGACGGAAUCCCUAUAAGGAGGGUAGAUUGUAAUGACCCGGAUUUUUAAAAAUAUUUUUAUUAGUAUUAAAAGUGAUUUUCUUCAAAGAAGGGAAUAAGAUUUAAUAUUUUAUUCCAGUUUAAUGAGUUUUCAAAGUUUUAUAUUUAAACCCCGGGUUAUUGUGUUAUUGAUAAAUAAUUGUAUUUUCAAAACUGAUUUUCAUAUAUUGUUUUGAAAAUUCUGUAUGAAUAUUAUGUGAAUAUAUGUGUUAUGUGAUUAAGUGGUAUUGGUGAAUUUGUUUGUUAAUUAGUUAUGAUUAAUUAUUAAUAUUAUAUGAUUAAUAUAUGAAUUUUUGUGAAUUUUGUAUUAUCUGGUUUAUUGAGUUAACUGCUCAUAUGUGUUCGUAUUUGAGAGAUUUCAAUUUCUAUAUGCUCAGGAGAAAAUAUAGUUUAUUUGGAUAUUUUCAUAUCGAUUUAUGGAAUGUUAGAUGAUUUUAUAAUCGAUUUACGGAUUUAAUUGCGUAUAUUUAUAUUUAUUUAUUAAUUAUUUGACUUCCGUAAAACCGUCCACUCGUAACGAGGUAGCAAAUUUUCUUCCCGGAAGUUUCAACAAAACUCACCUUUAGCCUAAUUUGAAUAUUCCGGACAUUUUUCGUGUUUUGACUUUUUCGAUCCGGAGUACGGUUUUCCCCGGAGUCGGUCCGGCGGAGUUUUUCGGGUAUUUUAAUUGUUGAUAAUUAUCCAGUUUGUCUCGAUAAACGUGAAACGAGAUAUUUUGAUUAUUAUAUUCAUCCUUAUCUUGUAAUAAUUGCAAUGGGACCCGCAGACCAAUAAUUGAGUUAAAAAGCCCCGUUUUGAUGAUUAUCUCGAAAACCAGUACCGAUUGGACCCCGCUUUAUUAAUAUAAAGCUAUUAAAUACGUAUUUUCAUGUCAUAAACGAUCCAAAGGGGUACCAAUUAUUUGUAAAUAUAAAUAGACCUUUCUAGAGCUUAUUUUCACCCGUAAAAUCAUUUCACCAGUUUCUCUGCACGAAUACCGAGAGAAACCGAGCGGUGUUCUUCGUGUUCUUCAUAUUCAAACGUGGAUUUGAAGGCGUUAUUGGAGUCGGAAUCAAGCGUGCGAGUAGUCAAAUCGAAGAUAUCGAAGAGUAGAAUCCAUAUCAAUGAUCAAAAACAACAUGAGAUUCACAGGUAGGGAGUAAUUGAGGUUUUAAAAUUCGAAUUAAUAUGAUUUAAAUAGUGAAUUUUUGCAAACGUGUUUGUUUGAUUGUUUUGAUGAUUCCAUGUUGUAGAGCAUGUUUUUCUCGUCGUUUUGGUAUAUCAUAUGUCAAUUUUUGAGUUCAAUAACACCUCGAAAAGUCAGUUUAAUCUUUGAAAUUGAGUGUUCUUGGUGUUCUUGCGUUUUUCGCCGGAAAAUAUUGAUUUUUGGCCGGAGAUUGCGUUCUGUUAAUUCUGGGUAUGCAUGGCUUAUACCAUUAGAAAGAGUGUGAAGAGAGGAAUCAUUUGGUGGUCUCAAAAAGUAUGGAGGUUUCGUUUUUAAAGCACGCCGGAGCUUGAAAGCUCGCCGGCGGCGAAAGAACUUUGGCCGGAUUUUACGGCCAAUUUAUACCUUGUUUGAUGAUUUUGAUUUCAGAAACGAGUUGUGGGUAGCAUAUAGAGGUUAUCUGGAGGUUUUGGUGUCGAAUGGACGCCAAGAACGCCGAGUCCGGCGAAGUUAGUGGUGGCCGGCGGCAAAUUGCCGUUUGGCCACCCAACUUAUGAAGAUGGUGAAGUUUGAGUACUGAGGUUUUGAAACUUACAAAACACCCCCUGGAACUUUUGGAAAGUUACACUUUAAACCCUGGACAAAACUUUCAAAAGUUUACAAAAUAAACCUUUUGAUUUAAUUUUCUAAAAUUGUUUUAUUUAAUUAUUUUUUAGUUUUAAGUUCUAUUGAUGAGGAAUGUUGUGUGACCUCAUGUAGAGGUAUUGUGAGACUAUUUAAAAAUAGUCUAGAGAUGCGAUAGAGGUAUAGAAUCUGGUUAGAUGAUCAAGUUGAGUGUAUAGGUUUAGAGAGAUUUUGAUUCUUAAGUUUAGACAUAGGAUUUCUAGUAUGUUGACUAAUUGAGAUGAUGAAUUGUGUGAAAGGUCAAGGUUAGACCUAGAUAGAAGAGUUUGAUAGUGAAUGAUUGAGUUGAGAAUGGUGAAAAUGCAGAGUUCAGAGUAUUCUGACUAUGCUGCAUCGUUGAAAAUGGUCUAUUGUAUUGAUUUGAGAAUGAUAAAGAUGCAUGGUUCAUAGUAUGUUGACCAUGUCAGAUAUUUGGAAGAGGUAUAUGGUGUUAGUGAGAUAUGAAGAGUUAGUGUAAGAUAUGAGUUGUACUGAAUUAGAAGGAGAGAUUUGUAGAUAGAAGUUGAUAGAUGAGAAGUGCAUGAUAGAGAGUAAGUGAAGUUGAGUCAGGUUAUUAGAAGCGAUAUUUGCGAGUAAGUUAGAAUGUUAAUUCUCGACGACGACGUUUUAAGUUAAGC
rnacentral:lncRNA from 1 species